GCAAAGCCGUCGAAGAGGGCCGUUGGGUUCAGGCGCGAGGCCGUCGGGACCUCAGAAUCAGCGUGGCCCGGCCCCUGUGAGGGUGUGCGCGCCGCUGGUCUCAGAGGCCGUGGGGUGAGAUGCCAGACGGCGCUCGGCGAGACAGAGGUUUCCCGGAAUCGUAUUUGGGGGCUCAACCAAAAUAGAACCUACCUCUGAGGAUUAUUCUGAAGAUUAGACGAAAUAACAUAUGUAAAAUGCCUGGCACAGAGCCAUCUUCUACUCAAAAGCCACUCUGAAAAGUGAAUUUGGAUAAAGCCUGAAGCUUACUAUAAUCCAAAUACAACAAAAAGACAUAUAGCAAAGGGGACCUACCAAACUGAAAGGAAGAGAAAGGUUUUGUCUGUAUAAUUGAGAAAGAGCCACAAAUUUAUGUUUUCACAUUUAAAAGAUUUUUAGAUGUAUUUGACUACCAAAUCCUUUUGGCCUCAGAGGGUCUAAAGAGACUUUUGUGUCAUGGAUCAUGCUUUGAAGAAAACUACUAUUUGCAGUUACCACCUGACCAUUAGUGGGAUAGCAUACUUCCACUGGAGAAAGUCAUUUGAAUGCUGUCUCAUCACAUUCACCUCCACCAAUGAGUCUUCCUUAUUCCUUCUGUUCCUCCUUCACUGACAAGGGAACCUUCUACAUAUUGCCACAGAAGUCAACACAUAUCUGGAUCAUAACAUAUUUAUUUAUUAAUGUUUUUCUUGCUCUUUAUUUGUCUCUUAUACAGAUUAAUACAGUGCCUAACAGGAAGAUACUCAAAUAUUUGUUGAAUGGCUAUCAAAUGAGUGAGAAGUACUGGAAAAAAAGAUAAAUACAAUCAGAACAAUUUCUUUGUUGCAGAUAUGCCUUAGGGUUCCUCAUAGGACUCCAGGUUGUAGAAAGAUAAAAAGGACUCUCUCCCCACUCCCCACCAUUGACACACCCACUAGGCAAACACCUAUUCCAUAUUCUUUUGUCCAGGCAACCUUAAUCAUUACCAAGAGCUCCUGUGAGUGGAACCAUAGCUAUAUAAUUCUAUUGGAUUGUUUCCAUAAGGUUUUAGCUCAAGAAAGAAAACAUGACUAGGGAAAGGAAUCCUUAAUUACAUCUUAAAAAUAUGAUCAAAAGCAACAUUUAAGAAAAGUGUUUCCAGGGAAGAGCCGAGGAUGACACCCGGUUUUAUAGUAAUUCAUUUUCCCAAACCUCAGAGCAUGUGAUCAAAGCUGAUAUACAUUAUCUCAGGCUUGGUACCAGGGUGACUCUUUUUUUUUUUUUUUCUUACUUUUCUUGAAGUUUUUAUUCGAAUGAAUAAAUAGAUGAGGAAGAGCCAAACCUGGGCCAGCCAGGUGUAGACUCUGAGAGUCCUGCUGCCUGAUCUAUAAUAAUACUUCCUCCCCUCUCUUUUUUAAUGAAGAAGCUGUGGCCUUUAGCACCUUGAAAUGCUAUCAUGCAAUUCAGGUCCUUUUGAAUCAGGAUAGGAAUAAUAGCAUGUUAAAUAAUAGCAUGUUAAAACUUGUAAGAGGAGGACAAUGAAACCUCCUCAUUAAAUGUGGAGGAGGUUGCAAACAGAUUAGUUAUUAGGCAAAUCAGUGUGAUACAAGUCCUCCUGACAACCUGUGUGCUCAGUGCUGGGAUCAUUCAGUUAAUCUGGGCCAGGGAUUUAAAAGAUUCAAACCCAGUAAGGCUUCAGCUCUAACCAGUUAAUCCUCCUUCCUACCAUACCACCAGAGGAGGAAAUAAAAGUAUGAAGUUUCUAAUUCCUUCUCCCUCCUCCCGUAAGUUGUGCUAACGCUGAUUCAUUGAUAAUUGUUGGCACAUCUCCAAGGAAGACUGAAAAUUUCCUAAAUUCACUGGCAUUUUUGGAUGAGGAUAAUGAAAACUUCCUAGUGUAGAAUCUGAAUAAAGACAUAAGAAGCAGUAUAUUUGCCUGAGGACCUGAUGGUGUGGUGACAAUUCUAAACAUUUUACAAAGUUUAUGUACGUCUCAUCUGUUUAUGCAAGAGGAAUUCCCCUCCCCCUCCCAUAAGUUUGCAGUUUAGAGAAAGUAGAGGGCAGGCCUAGGAUCAAUCAUUGGAAAGUGCAGCUAGCAAAAGUCUUGAUUAUAAGACUUUUAUAACAUUCAGAGUUAUCAACAACGCAACCUAUGGCUUCACAGAAGAGUGAGUGCUUCUCCAGUUAAUACUAUAUGAAAGAUGGACAAAGACAUUUCUAAAGUUCCUUCCAAACCAAAGAUGCUGCUAUUCUUGAAGCAUAAUGAAGACCACACCUUUGAAAAUAUGCUGGCUGUCCUGACUAGCAAACUAGUGUCCCAUCAGCUCUGGUUCUUACCUUCUUUGAUAAGUCAUGUUUCUUUAUUCAUUGGUUCUGAGAACCUGAGAGGGAGGUAAGGUUGAAAUGCAGAAAAAACAUAAUACCUCCUGAGCAACUGAAACAUCUUGAACUCAUAUUCACUGUUGGACAUUUUAACAGAAAAUUUAAAAGUUGCUCUCUGUUUCCAAAAGAAGGAACCAUGUUGGAAUACCAGAGCUGUGAGAAUCCCUAUUAUGAGAAGAAAUCUGAUUGGGAAUCAUCAUAUUACUCCACAAAACCAAGUUUCAGCCUUAUUAAGUAUUCUAAGAAGGGCCUAAAAAAUAAAUUUUGAUCCAAUG